GACGAACGCUGGCGGCGUGCUUAACACAUGCAAGUCGAACGGCAAGGCCCUGCUUUUGUGGGGUGCUCGAGUGGCGAACGGGUGCGUAACACGUGAGUAACCUGCCCUUGACUUUGGGAUAACUUCAGGAAACUGGGGCUAAUACCGGAUAGGAGCUCCUGCUGCAUGGUGGGGGUUGGAAAGUUUCGGCGGUUGGGGAUGGACUCGCGGCUUAUCAGCUUGUUGGUGGGGUAGUGGCUUACCAAGGCUUUGACGGGUAGCCGGCCUGAGAGGGUGACCGGCCACCAUGGGACUGAGAGACGGCCCAGACUCGUACGGGAGACAGCAGGGGGAAAUAUGGCACAAUGGGCGGAAGCCGGAUGCAGAAACGCCGCGGGCGGGAUGACGGCCUUCGGGUAGUAAACCGCUUUCGCCUGUGACGAAGCGUGAGUGACGGUAAUGGGUAAAGAAGCACCGGCUAACUACGUG
rnacentral:rRNA from 1 species